UACAGAGGUCCCGAGCGUUGUUCGGAUUCAUUGGGCGUAAAGGGUGCGUAGGUGGCGCUGUAAGUGGGGUGUGAAAUCCCGGGGCUUAACUCCGGAACUGCAUUCCAUACUGCGGUGCUUGAGGACUGGAGAGGAGACUGGAAUUUACGGUGUAGCAGUGAAAUGCGUAGAGAUCGUAAGGAAGACCAGUGGCGAAGGCGGGUCUCUGGACGAGUUC
rnacentral:rRNA from 1 species